UACGAAGGUUGCAAGCGUUACUCGGAAUUACUAGGCGUAAAGGGCGGGUAGGCGGCUUGAUAAGUCUGUUGUGAAAGCUCCCGGCUUAACUGGGAGAGGUCAACGGAAACUGUCGAGCUUGAGUGUAGGAGAGGGUACUGGAAUUCCCGGUGUAGCGGUGAAAUGCGCAGAGAUCGGGAGGAACACCAACGGCGAAAGCAGGUACCUGGACUAUUACUGACGCUCAGCUGCGAAAGCUAGGGGAGCAAACAGG
rnacentral:rRNA from 1 species